UACGAGAGGCCCAAACGUUAUUCGGAAUUACUGGGCUUAAAGAGUUCGUAGGCGGCGCAGAAAGUAGGGUGUGAAAGCCCUCGGCUCAACCGAGGAAUUGCGCUCUAAACUACUGUGCUUGAGGAAGCUAGAGGUGAGCGGAACUGAUGGUGGAGCGGUGAAAUGCAUUGAUAUCAUCAGGAACACCGGAGGCGAAGGCGGCUCACUGGGGCUUUUCUGACGCUGAGGAACGAAAGCCAGGGGAGCGAACGGG
rnacentral:rRNA from 1 species